GAUGAACGCUGGCGGCGUGCCUAAUACAUGCAAGUCGAGCGAACGGACGAGAAGCUUGCUUCUCUGAUGUUAGCGGCGGACGGGUGAGUAACACGUGGAUAACCUACCUAUAAGACUGGGAUAACUUCGGGAAACCGGAGCUAAUACCGGAUAAUAUUUUGAACCGCAUGGUUCAAAAGUGAAAGACGGUCUUGCUGUCACUUAUAGAUGGAUCCGCGCUGCAUUAGCUAGUUGGUAAGGUAACGGCUUACCAAGGCAACGAUGCAUAGCCGACCUGAGAGGGUGAUCGGCCACACUGGAACUGAGACACGGUCCAGACUCCUACGGGAGGCAGCAGUAGGGAAUCUUCCGCAAUGGGCGAAAGCCUGACGGAGCAACGCCGCGUGAGUGAUGAAGGUCUUCGGAUCGUAAAACUCUGUUAUUAGGGAAGAACAUAUGUGUAAGUAACUGUGCACAUCUUGACGGUACCUAAUCAGAAAGCCACGGCUAACUACGUGCCAGCAGCCGCGGUAAUACGUANGUGGGGCAGCGUAUCCGGAAUUAUUGGGCGUAAAGCGCGCGUAGGCGGUUUUUUAAGUCUGAUGUGAAAGCCCACGGCUCAACCGUGGAGGGUCAUUGGAAACUGGAAAACUUGAGUGCAGAAGAGGAAAGUGGAAUUCCAUGUGUAGCGGUGAAAUGCGCAGAGAUAUGGAGGAACACCAGUGGCGAAGGCGACUUUCUGGUCUGUAACUGACGCUGAUGUGCGAAAGCGUGGGGAUCAAACAGGAUUAGAUACCCUGGUAGUCCACGCCGUAAACGAUGAGUGCUAAGUGUUAGGGGGUUUCCGCCCCUUAGUGCUGCAGCUAACGCAUUAAGCACUCCGCCUGGGGAGUACGACCGCAAGGUUGAAACUCAAAGGAAUUGACGGGGACCCGCACAAGCGGUGGAGCAUGUGGUUUAAUUCGAAGCAACGCGAAGAACCUUACCAAAUCUUGACAUCCUUUGACAACUCUAGAGAUAGAGCCUUCCCCUUCGGGGGACAAAGUGACAGGUGGUGCAUGGUUGUCGUCAGCUCGUGUCGUGAGAUGUUGGGUUAAGUCCCGCAACGAGCGCAACCCUUAAGCUUAGUUGCCAUCAUUAAGUUGGGCACUCUAAGUUGACUGCCGGUGACAAACCGGAGGAAGGUGGGGAUGACGUCAAAUCAUCAUGCCCCUUAUGAUUUGGGCUACACACGUGCUACAAUGGACAAUACAAAGGGCAGCGAAACCGCGAGGUCAAGCAAAUCCCAUAAAGUUGUUCUCAGUUCGGAUUGUAGUCUGCAACUCGACUACAUGAAGCUGGAAUCGCUAGUAAUCGUAGAUCAGCAUGCUACGGUGAAUACGUUCCCGGGUCU
rnacentral:rRNA from 1 species